rnacentral:rRNA from 1 species
AGAGUUUGAUCAUGGCUCAGAAUGAACGCUGGCGGCGUGCAUAACACAUGCAAGUCGAACGAGAAAGGGGCUUCGGCCCCGAGUAAAGUGGCGCACGGGUGAGUAACGCGUGGGUAACCUACCCUGGAAUCUGGGAUAACACUGCGAAAGCGGUGCUAAUACCGGGUACGAUCCUUGGACGGGAGUUCGGGGAUGAGAGCCGGCCUCUUGACAAAGCUGGUGUUCUGGGAUGGGCUCGCGUCCUAUCAGCUAGUUGGUGGGGUAAUGGCCUACCAAGGCGUCGACGGGUAGCUGGUCUGAGAGGAUGAUCAGCCACACUGGCACUGGAACACGGGCCAGACUCCUACGGGAGGCAGCAGUGAGGAAUUUUGCGCAAUGGGGGAAACCCUGACGCAGCAACGCCGCGUGGGUGAAGAAGGCCUUCGGGUCGUAAAGCCCUGUCAGGUGGGAAGAACGGUCCUUGAGCGAACAGUUCGGGGAUUUGACGGUACCACCAGAGGAAGCACCGGCUAACUCCGUGCCAGCAGCCGCGGUAAUACGGAGGGUGCGAGCGUUGUUCGGAAUCAUUGGGCGUAAAGGGCGUGUAGGCGGCUGGGUAAGUCUGAUGUGAAAGCCCGGGGCUCAACCCUGGAAGUGCAUUGGAGACUGCUCGGCUUGAGUACUGGAGAGGAUGGGGGAAUUCCCGGUGUAGAGGUGAAAUUCGUAGAGAUCGGGAGGAAUACCAGUGGCGAAGGCGCCCAUCUGGACGGAUACUGACGCUGAGACGCGAAAGCGUGGGGAGCAAACAGGAUUAGAUACCCUGGUAGUCCACGCUGUAAACGAUGAGCACUAGGUGUAGCGGGUAUUGACCCCUGCUGUGCCGCAGCUAACGCAUUAAGUGCUCCGCCUGGGGAUUACGGUCGCAAGACUAAAACUCAAAGGAAUUGACGGGGGCCCGCACAAGCGGUGGAGCAUGUGGGUUUAAUUCGACGCAACGCGAAGAACCCUUACCUGGGCUUGACAUCCCCGGGCCCGCUCUGGGAGCAG